rnacentral:rRNA from 1 species
AGGACGAACGCUGGCGGCGUGCUUAACACAUGCAAGUCGAGCGGAAAGGCCCUUCGGGGUACUCGAGCGGCGAACGGGUGAGUAACACGUGAGUAACCUGCCCCUAGCUUCGGGAUAGCUCCGGGAAACCGGAAUUAAAUACCGGAUAUGACCAUGGCCGACAUCGGCCACGGUGGAAAGAUUCAUCGGCUAGGGAUGGGCUCGCGGCCUAUCAGCUUGUUGGUGGGGUAACAGCCUACCAAGGCGACGACGGGUA